UACGGAGGGUGCGAGCGUUGUCCGGAAUCACUGGGCGUAAAGGGCGCGUGGGCGGCGCGAGCAGUCGGCGGUGAAAGCCCGGAGCUCAACUCCGGGUCGGCCGUCGAUACUCUCGUGCUUGAGCACUGUAGAGGCAGGUGGAAUUCCGGGUGUAGCGGUGGAAUGCGUAGAGAUCCGGAAGAACACCGGUGGCGAAGGCGGCCUGCUGGGCAGUAGCUGACGCUGAUGCGCGACAGCGUGGGGAGCAAACAGG
rnacentral:rRNA from 1 species